GCACAAGCGGUGGAGCAUUGUGGUUUAAUUCGACGCAACGCGAAGAACCUUACCAGGGCUUGACAUCCCCUGACCGCGUAUGAAAGUACGUUUUCACCCUCGGGUGACAGGGAGACAGGUGGUGCAUGGUUGUCGUCAGCUCGUGUCGUGAGAUGUUGGGUUAAGUCCCGCAACGAGCGCAACCCCUACGUUUAAUUGCUAACGCGUGAAGGCGAGCACUCUAGACGAACUGCCGUUGACAAAACGGAGGAAGGUGGGAUGACGUCAAAUCAUCAUGCCCCUUAUGUUCUGGGCUACACACGUGCUACAAUGGCCGGUACAGACGGACGCAAAGCCGCGAGGUGGAGCAAAUCCUAAAAAGCCGGUCUCAGUUCGGAUUGCAGGCUGCAAUUCGCCUGCAUGAAGUCGGAAUCGCUAGUAAUCGCAGGUCAGCAUACUGCGGUGAAUACGUUCCCGGGCCUU
rnacentral:rRNA from 1 species